rnacentral:rRNA from 1 species
CAAUAGCGUAUAUUAAAGUUGUUGCAGUUAAAAAGCUCGUAGUUGGAUUUCUGGUGGGAGCGAUCGGUCUGGCGCUUAGCGCGAGUACUUGCAUCGUCUCCGGCCAUCCUUGGGGAGAGUCUGUCUGGCAUUAGGUUGUCGGGCAGAGGAUCCUCAUCGUUUACUGUGAAAAAAUUAGAGUGUUCAAAGCAGGCUUAUGCCGUUGAAUAUAUUAGCAUGGAAUAAUCAGAUAGGACUUUGGUACUAUUUUGUUGGUUUGCGCACCAAAGUAAUGAUUAAUAGGGACAGUUGGGGGUAUUCGUAUUCCGUUGUCAGAGGUGAAAUUCUUGGAUUUACGGAAGACGAACUACUGCGAAAGCAUUUACCAAGGAUGUUUUCAUUAA